rnacentral:rRNA from 1 species
CCUACGGGGUGCAGCAGUGGGGAAUAUUGGGCAAUGGGCGCAAGCCUGACCCAGCAACGCCGCGUCAAGGAAGAAGGCUUUCGGGUUGUAAACUUCUUUUCUCAGAGACGAAGCAAGUGACGGUACCUGAGGAAUAAGCCACGGCUAACUACGUGCCAGCAGCCGCUGUAAUACGUAGGUGGCAAGCGUUAUCCGGAUUUACUGGGUGUAAGGGGCGUGUAGGCGGGGACGCAAGUCAGAUGUGACAACCACGGGCUCAACCUGUGGCCUGCAUUUGAAAAUGGGUUUCUUGAGUACUGGAGAGGCAGACGGAAUUCCUAGUGUAGCGGUGAAAUGCUUAGAUAUUAGGAGGAACACCAGUGGCGAAGGCGGUCUGCUGGACAGCAACUGACGCUGAGGCGCGAAAGCGUGGGGAGCAAACAGGAUUAGAUACCCGGGUAGUC